rnacentral:misc_RNA from 1 species
CCUACUCUCCUUCCUUUCUCAUCCAUGCCCUUCAAAAACCUCACUCUCUCUCUCCUGACUCAAGUCCCCCAAUCGACCAAGCCCCUCUCCACCUUCCUCCACCGCCAUGGAACCAUCUCUGGAAGAUCUCGCCGAUGAUCUUGACAACCUUAGCAUCACCUCCACCACCACUAGCGCCACAACCACCACCACAAGCGCCACCAACACCACUGCUCAUGAAACUAAACACAGUACAAGUUCUGGGUCUGAAACCACUUGGACUAGCUCCAACAUCUCGUCAACUUCCUCCAAGCCCCACCGCCCACCUCCAUGCGAUCACUGUUGGCGCGCAAUCCUACGUUCCAACUACGAAAACUCAAUCCUAACACUAACUGAUCUCCGGUUCGUUCACCGGCUGGGAAGCGGUGACAUAGGGAGUGUGUACCUUGUGGAGGUUAAAGGAGGCAAUGGGUGUCUUUUCGCUGCUAAGGUGAUGGACAAGAAGGAAAUGGAGAGCAGGAACAAAGAAAGUAGAGCAAAGAUAGAGAGAGAAAUAUUGGAAAUGCUGGAUCAUCCGUUUUUGCCUACAUUAUAUGCAACUUUGGAUUCUCCUAGAUGGUCUUGUUUGUUAACGGAGUUUUGCCCUGGCGGUGACCUCCAUGUUCUCCGGCAACAGAAACCCGACAAGCGUUUCGAUGAAGCUGCCGUCCGGUUUUAUGCAUCGGAAGUUGUGGCUGCAUUGGAAUAUUUACACAUCAUGGGAAUUAUAUACCGCGACCUUAAACCAGAAAAUGUUCUUGUAAGAUCUGAUGGUCAUAUCAUGCUUACAGAUUUUGAUCUCUCCUUAAAAGAUGAUAUGUCAACUUCAACAGCUCAAAUUGUUUCUGAUCAAAACCAAUCUACCACAAAUUCAAUGAGUGAUUACCCCAUUGAUCCACCUCAGUCUGCCGCAUCAUCAUGCAUUCUACCUAAUUGCAUUGUGCCUGCUGUCUCAUGCUUCUAUCCGAGGCGUCGUCGAAAAAGAAAAUUCAAUCAGCGUGGGACUCUUGAGAUUGUGGCGGAGCCAAUAGAUGUCCGAUCAAUGUCAUUCGUCGGGACCCAUGAG